rnacentral:rRNA from 1 species
CGACCCCAAGUCAGGCGAGAGC